rnacentral:lncRNA from 1 species
CAUAAAUAAAGGCAACAGUAGUAUACCGCUGUUCAAAACUCAUAAAUCCAUGGACAAAAAACAAAAUCGGGGUAACAAACUAAAACUGAGGGAAACGCAUUAAAUAUAAAAGGAGAACAACGACACAACACUAAAAUGUAACACACACACACACACACAUACACACAUACACACACACACACACACACACACACACAGAAACGGACUAAGCAUUAGACAAAAUCCUAUGAGAAUAACAAAUAUAACAUCAAAACCAAAUACAUGAAUUUUCAAUAGAUAAGUACUGUGACACGUCUUAUAGUGAUGUGAAUUCACACUCAAAAAUAAGAGAAAACAAACGACACAACCGAAACACAACGUUAAAAUGUAACACACAGAGAAACGAACUAUAAUAUAACAAUGGCCAUAUUCCUGACCCGUUACAGAACAUUUUUAAAGGAAAAAAUGGUGGGUUGAACCUGGUUUUGUGGCAUGCCAAACCUCGCUCUUUUAUGGCCAUGUGAAAUAUAACUUAAGC